rnacentral:rRNA from 1 species
GAUGAACACUGGCGGCGUGCCUAAUACAUGCAAGUCGAGCGAACGGACGAGAAGCUUGCUUUUCUGAUGUUAGCGGCGGACGGGUGAGUAACACGUGGAUAACCUACCUAUAAGACUGGGAUAACUUCGGGAAACCGGAGCUAAUACCGGAUAAUAUUUUGAACCGCAUGGUUCAAAAGUGAAAGACGGUCUUGCUGUCACUUAUAGAUGGAUCCGCGCUGCAUUAGCUAGUUGGUAAGGUAACGGCUUACCAAGGCAACGAUGCAUAGCCGACCUGAGAGGGUGAUCGGCCACACUGGAACUGAGACACGGUCCAGACUCCUACGGGAGGCAGCAGUAGGGAAUCUUCCGCAAAGGGCGAAAGCCUGACGGAGCAACGCCGCGUGAGUGAUGAAGGUCUUCGGAUCGUAAAACUCUGUUAUUAGGGAAGAACAUAUGUGUAAGUAACUGUGCACAUCUUGACGGUACCUAAUCAGAAAGCCACGGCUAACUACGUG